rnacentral:rRNA from 1 species
UGGGCCGGGCUUUUUCACACUCGGGUGGUGGUGAGAGAGAGAUCAUGUGCCAUGACGAUCGAUCACAUGAAUUUGAUCAACGCUGCAAGCAUCGAGAUGGUGAAGAAGCUGAAGCUAUCAAUGACACCACAUCCACAACCAUACUGUUUUCAUUGGGGUCAUGAAGAGCUCACUGUCACACACCAAACCAAGGUACCGUUUUUGUUAGGAAUUUUUUUUUCCGAUGUUUUGUGCGACGUGAUUCCGGUCUCCUUGGUGUCAUGUCAUCUGUUGUUGGGAGAGCCGUGGUACAAGGAGCACCAUGCUACAUAUGACCAUGUUGCAAAUAUGUAUCACGUCAAGCGGGAUAAGAAGUUUGACCUUGUGUCCAUGGACGAGGAUCGUUUUAUUUCU